rfam:Pythium ultimum DAOM BR144 ctg_1117875580281, whole genome shotgun sequence.
UACAAUAAUAAUAAAAGCAUUAAGUGGAUGCCUUGGCAUUAAUUUUAUUUUUAGGACGUAAAAAAUGCGAAAAGCUAUAUUAAAUAAUAAUAUAUUUUGAAAUAUAGAUUUCCUAGAGAAAACUUUUUCUUUGUGAAAAUUUUAAAAGCAGUGAAUUGAAAUAUCUAAGUAACUGUUAAAAAAAUCAAACGAGAUUCUGUGAGUAAUGACGAGUGAAAAUGGAAAAUAGGUUUAUAAAAAUAAA